GCCAGUAUGGUGGAAUUGGUAGACGCGCUGGACUCAAAAUCCAGUAUCCGAUGAGGAUGUGUCGGUUCGACUCCGACUACUGGCACCA
rnacentral:tRNA from 2 species